UGUUUGGGGUUAUUGAUUAUCCUCUGCUCUCCAGGGAGAAUAGCUGAUGCUGUCUCCUAUGCUGAUGGUAUAAGCACUACUCAUCUCACCUACAUAAGUCAUAAGGAUGGUAUAGGAGAGCUGGGACAAACAUUCAAGGUUAACAAAACAAGACUGCACCUCUUCUCUUUCUCAAGGGUAGAUGUACUAUGCGCUGCUUUGUCUGUGUCCUGUACAAAUGAGAAUGGAGGCAACCAUCAAAAAACAUUAAACAAGAUCUCUUUGUGACAGAAUACUAGUGGAAUCAAGAAAACCAGCAGAGAUGGUAUGGACAGACAAGCCCAAAAGUUGCUGAAGGCAUGAAGGCAAAAAAAGCAGCAGCACAUUUGCUGGGAGUCAGUGCCAGACAAUCUUUCUUUCUCACCUGGUAAGACCUCUCCAAUUAAUGUUUUAAAAGUCCCAGUGAAAGUAUACUAAAUAUUGUAUCGGGUGAGGUGAUUCUCUUUUAUACUUUCCUGGUAAAUAUUUUAUUUUGUUCACAGAGUCAGCAAAUGAAAGAGGUUCCUAUAGUUCUUCCACCUGUCUUGGUGCUUGUGUGAGCUGUCCCAGCUUUAGCUCUUCUGUCCAAACUGUGAAGAAGUAAACUCUCUAGAGCUCCUUUUCACAGCACCUGAAAUGUGAACUGGGAAACUCCACCACACCGUUGAGUCUUGUUCCUCUAGGUAUCAGCUUUGGAAAUAUCAUGGGACUUCAGCCACUGACCAUUGAAGCCACUGACCAUUGAAGAUUACUGCCAGCAUCAUAGUCUAGUUCUAUAUUCUGGCCUUGUCAGGAAGGGAAAAGAUCAACAGAGUACUAUAAAGUCCCCCUGGCAAAAUCCCAUGUCUUUUCAAGUAAAAUACAACUUGUUUCUCCCAGAAAAUUUCAGUUAACUCCUAUAAGUUCUACUUAAUCUAAGAUAUUUAAAUUGGAUCUCCAGUGAUGUUGUGAUCUUUAUGCACCUGUGUUUCAGGUAGUUCUUACAAGUUGUCACAAGUGAGCAGAUCUAGACUCAGACUGAAGAGACAAAUGUUGGUGAUAUUUUCUGGUCAUAUUUUAAUGUGCCUGCCUGCCAGUACUCACUUCAUGAGAGUUACUAGUUGGUAUGUAGAUGUUGCUCUGAUCCUAACCUUGCAACAGUCCAUGCAGCACUCUGUUUUUACAUCCUUAUUGCUUUAGACAGACUCUCUCCCGUAAAAGCUAGAACAAUGAAAUAAUGGUAGUACUGCAAUGCUAAGUGUUUGAAUGUGAGGUGACUGUUGUUUACAGGAAUCCACAGAGCCAAGUCAUUCUGUUUAGUACUUCUAGUUCAUGUAGGGAAGAUUAGGUACAAACAGGAUUGUCUGCCUGAGCUGGUAGAUGUGCCAUUUAACCUACCUAAGAGGAGAAUGGCUAAGUCCCACCUUUAUGAGCAAAAUAACCACCAUCCCAAAGUUCUGGUGGAAUCAAAAAACCUGAGAGGAGUGCCUAAUAUCUUUAGGCUGCAUCUGGCUUUAAAAUUGAUUGUAAACAAGCAGCGUGAGGAGCAAAAACAUUCAUAAGCACCCUAUUCCUCUUCCUUAAAUAUCUGUUCUGGCUUUAAGGAGGAUCUGUUCAACCACUUUGGAUACAUGUCCCUGAGCCAACUGCUCUAGUUGGAUCCUCUAAUGCAUAUAGUACUCAUGCAGGAGGAGACCCAGCUGUAUUUCUUGGGUUUCAAGUUCAUACUUCUCAUCAUAUGGGGUCUGCCUUGCACAGGUGACCCUUGUCACCUGUUGAACUGGUUCUUCCUAGUCUGUGUCAUCCAAACAAAAUGAGCAGAUCUAAAAGGGAAAGAAAUCAAAUGCCAAAAUCUAAAGAUUAGUUCUACCAGAAGACAAAACAGCAAGGUUCUUCUGACCUAAGACUACCUCCCUGUUUUAGCUACUAACAGCUUCUUACUAAAAAAAUGUGGCUCGUUACAGAAGAGGCGUGGAGUCCUUGCACUUCAUUUGAGUGAGACUGAUGUCACCUCUUGUGCUGUCUUGCCAGUUAAUUCUUUCGAAAUAUGGGUUUGAAUCUCCUUGGGGAGGAGAAGGAAUUAAAUCUAUGAUGUGUCUCCGGCUGAGCAGGAUUAUAGACUGUUCCAAAAGCAGGUGAUUCUUCAUUUCCACCCCACUCCCUGUAUCUUAACAGGAGGUGCUGAGCUUGGAGGAAGGUCAGGCCUCAAUUGGGAACGCUCCAAGGUUAUCUGCCCCAUCUGUACUAUUACCAUAUUUAAACAGGGAAGUAUCCAGUUUCUUCCUCUGAAUGAGCCAGCUAUGGAGUGUUCAGGCCUGACAUGACCAAGUUUCUCCACACUUACACAGGAGCAGGUCUCAUUGCUGCCUACAAUAGGAAAUCACAGUGGAGCUCAUACACAGGGUGGCCUAAGUAGCAAUGAGGUGCAAGAGGGGAUCCCAGCUAUGCUGUAGGAGAUGAGCUAAUACAAAUGCUCUGGUGGGAUUUGGGGCUCUGUUUUACAAGUGAAAGGACAGUAAGCAGUUAAAAGGUAUGUUCUGUACGUGUGUGUCAAUGUUUAUUUCAAAAAAAAAAAAAAAAGGAAAACAAACCUGUAUUUUGUCACAUUACU